CUUUCAAAGGUUCCAGAUGCUCUGAUGAACUAUUCAUUGCAGAGACAGUGGGUGUCAAUGUCCGGUCCUCCAGAGUCUGGGAGAUCACAGUUGUCAGAUCAUCGUGAGUGUCAAAGGAUGUUGAUGUUGCCCUAACAGUUACCAUAUUAUCAGAGGGCUGGGGCUGGGUGGCCCUGACUAAAUUAUCAGAGGGCUGGGUGGCCCUGACUAAAUUAUCAGAGGGCUGGGUGGCCCUGACCAAGUUAUCAGAAGGCUGGGUGGCCCUGACCAAAUUAUCAGAGGGCUGGGUGGCCCUGACCAUAUUCUCAGAGGGUAUGGUGAUGGUGACUCGAUUCCUUGCCUGUACGUUUCCAUUUGUAGUGGGAAUUUGGUUGUUGUUUGGAACCGUCCUUCUCGGCGGCUGUGGUAAACCCGAGGACAGUGCGGCCUCGGAGGACCCGUGAAUUCUGCGGGGAUCAGAAUGGCCGAAUGCUGUCCGGUAGGUCUGAUAAGUGGCAGAGUGCGCGUUCUCACCCAGAACGUUCAUGUGUUUCCGCAUGGUCUUCAUCUGAGAUCGGGAUAUCUCCAACAUCUGUCUUAUGUUCUCCGCCUCUUUCUCUUUAGCUACUACCUCCAUCUUCAGCUCGUCGAAUUUAAUGCCGACCACUCUAAGCAUCUCUCCCAACACCGUCUCAACAGCGGCACUAACCGCUCUCUCUAUCACGGUACCCAUCUGUCCCCGCAUUAGGGAAAUUGUUAGACUGAUAUCCAUUUUUGUAAAACUGCAAAUAACAACCUUUCAAUUUGUUUAUAACAUCGGAGGUCAAAUUUUAUAGUCUGUCGUCCAUCGUGAAAUGCAUAGCAAGCGAUAGAUUGCUGCUAACAUCGAGCUAGCUAGCUACCCUCGUAGUAAGCGGAAAACCUGCUCCAGAGAGCUAACUAAACAAGCCAAUUGAAAGGCUUUUCACUGUUUGUAAGUUAUUAAAUAGUAAAAUGUCCCUGGCUAAUUUUGAAACCAGAAGAUGUCAGAGAAACUGAAAAUAUUUCAACUUCGGAUCUAUGUAAACAAAUAGGUUCUCCUUUAAUCGUUC
ensembl:lncRNA